AGUGAACGCUGGCGGUAGGCCUAACACAUGCAAGUCGAACGGCAGCACAGUAAGAGCUUGCUCUUACGGGUGGCGAGUGGCGGACGGGUGAGGAAUACAUCGGAAUCUACUUUUUCGUGGGGGAUAACGUAGGGAAACUUACGCUAAUACCGCAUACGACCUACGGGUGAAAGCAGGGGAUCUUCGGACCUUGCGCGAUUGAAUGAGCCGAUGUCGGAUUAGCUAGUUGGCGGGGUAAAGGCCCACCAAGGCGACGAUCCGUAGCUGGUCUGAGAGGAUGAUCAGCCAAACUGGAACUGGAACCCGGCCCAACCCCCUACGGGGGGCAGAAGUGGGGAAUUUUGGACAAUGGGCGCAAGCCUGUCCCAGCCAUACCGGGUGGGUGAAGAAGGCCUUCGGGUUGUAAAGCCCUUUUUUUGGGAAAAAAAAGCAGCAGGUUAAACCCCCGCUGUUCUGACGGUACCCAAAGAAUAAGCACCGGCUAACUUCGU
rnacentral:rRNA from 1 species